UACGAAGGGGGCUAGCGUUGCUCGGAAUGACUGGGCGUAAAGGGCGCGUAGGCGGACGGCUUUGUCGGGCGUGAAAUUCCAGGGCUUAACCUUGGGGGUGCGUUCGAGACGGGUUGUCUUGAGUGGGGAAGAGGGUCGUGGAAUUCCCAGUGUAGAGGUGAAAUUCGUAGAUAUUGGGAAGAACACCGGUGGCGAAGGCGGCGACCUGGUCCUUGACUGACGCUGAGGCGCGAAAGCGUGGGGAGCGAACAGG
rnacentral:rRNA from 1 species